rnacentral:rRNA from 1 species
GAGGCAGCAGUAGGGAAUCUUCCGCAAUGGACGAAAGUCUGACGGAGCAACGCCGCGUGAGCGAAGAAGGUCUUCGGAUCGUAAAGCUCUGUUGUCAGGGAAGAACAAGUACCGUUCGAACAGGGCGGUACCUUGACGGUACCUGACCAGAAAGCCACGGCUAACUACGUGCCAGCAGCCGCGGUAA